rnacentral:rRNA from 1 species
CCCUUACGGGAGGCAGCAGCAAGGAAUUUUUCGUAAUGGACACAUGUCUGACGGAGCAACGUCGUGUGCAGGACGUCGGCCUUUCGGGUUGUAAACUGCUUUUUGGUGGGGCGAUGAUGACGGUACCACCUGAAUAAGCCCCGGCUAACUCCGUGCCAGCAGCCGCGGUAAGACGGAGGGGGCAAGCGUUGUCCGGACUCACUGGGCGUAAAGCGUGCGUAGGUGGUGCGAUGCGUCGGCGCUGAAAGCCGGGCUUAACCGGGCGACGGGCGACGAUACGAUCGCACUGGAGGCAGGGAGACGUUGGUGGAAUUCCGGGUGUAGUGGUGAAAUGCGUAGAGAUCCGGAGGAAUGCCGGUGGCGUAAGCGGCCAACGAGUCCUGACCUGACACUGAGGCACGAAAGCGUGGGGAGCAAACCCGAUUAGAUACCCGGGUAGGUCAACGCCGUAAACGAUGUCGGCUAGGUGUGUGAUCGGGGUGACCCAGUGGCGUGCCGAAGCUUACGGGGUAAGCCGACCGCCUGGGGACUACGAGCGCAAGUUAAAACUCAAAGGAAUUUACGGGGGCCCGCACAAGCAGCGGAGGUGUUGGUAUAAUUGGCG